rnacentral:rRNA from 1 species
GGGUCAGUAGGUUGGUCGUGCCACCGGUACGUACUGGUCUCACUGAUUCCUCCUUCCUGAAGAACCGUAAUGCCAUUAAUUUGGUGUUGCGGGGAAACAGGACUGUUACUUUGAAAAAAUUAGAGUGUUUAAAGCAAGCUAACGCUUGAAUACAUUAACAUGGAAUAAUGAAAUAGGACGAUCGAUCCUAUUUUGUUGGUUUCUAGGAUUGACGUA